UUGCACCUUGGUACCUGAAGCAACUUGAAAGAUAAUGGUGGUGUUAUUCUUCAUAUAUAUGAGGCUAAAGUGUUAUGAGUCUUAAGAAAAAUGUUUUAGACCAAGCCUCAUCCUCACCUGUUCAAAUGGUUUUGACUGGAAUGGUUUUUAAACCAGUUUAGUUUAUUUAAGUCUUUUCUAACUCACUCAUUUGUUUAUCAGAGCAGGAGCCACUUUAUUGCUGCACACUAAGAUCAUCAAUAAUUUCUCCUGUUUCUGGGUUAUAGUUAUUUAAAAAUGGGAUCUUCUGCAGUCCCUGCAAUAAUAAAUAAAGAAUAUGUGAAUUCAGGAUGAUAUUUAUUUGUGUGUGCAAAUUUUAAUUAUCAGAUGUUUACUGUGUAUAUAAUGUACUUGGUACAUCAGUCUAUAUUUGAUAUCACAUCAGUUUUCUAAUGUUAAAUAAUGUUAAAAGGUGUUUUAACUCCCUCUUGUGGUCAUUGUCCUGAAGCUCAGGGGGGAGAAAAAUAAAUAAACUGUACCGUGUGUGCAGUUUUGUAAAACUGCGCACAGUUUACCAAUCUGUCCACAUGGAUGUAAAUUGACAAUCUGUACCCACAGUUUAAAAUCCGUCCCCACGGAUUGUAAAACCGUGCACACAGUUUAUUUAUUUUUCUCUUCCCGGAACCUAGGGGGGGCUCCAUAGAAAAAGUCGCUUGUUUUGGGCUUGUUUUCACAGGCCUGGUUGCUUAUUUAUCUCGCAAGAUCUGGCAACGCUGAAAGCGCUGCGGUCAAUCAACGGUCUGCGUGUGCUAAAGAAGGAAACUGUUCAAGGCUCUAAGGACCUUUGAGAUAACUGAAAUCGUUUGGCGAAGUGAUAUGGAGCUGUAAUGCGGUCAAAUAAAUCCUCAAGAUGCCUGGAACUACUUGGACCUGCCUUGAACUGUAGUAUAAAGAGCCUCAAAUGCUGAACAGAGAGCAUUCGAUGCCAUCGACCGCUUAGCAGAUAGCCCAAAUAUUGUCGAAGACUCAGACGAAGACAGAUGUGUUGGGACCGGUGACGAUCUUUCGGCCUGGACGUAAUCGCAAGUGAACUCGUGGGACUGUUCAUCUUGGACCAGUGAUCGAGACGACGAGUCGACAGUAAGAGGUAGACAAACACCCUAUCCUUUUCACAACGUGUCUGAAGGAGAAGAGGAAGAACAAGAAGAAGAGCGAGGGGGUGCUCGUUGGAAUCACGAGCUCGUUAACAAAAUAGAAGCAGUCCUUGCCUCUAAUAACAGAAUAGAAGCCACCCUCGCCGCUGGUCGUAACAGACCAGCAGAGGACACGUUGUCUAUUCAGAGCAGAUUGGACGUUAUUGGUAACAGAUUGGACGUUAUUGGCGGCAGAUUGGACUCAUUGGGCGCGUGCAUCCAGGAGGAUCGUGCCAGAUCGGCAGCUGAAUUUGCAACUAUUCGCAACGGAAUGCGAGCGGAAUUUGGAGCGGUGCACAAUAGAAUUGAUGAGCUUGGUGUUGGACAUCGAGAAAUAAUAGGUGUUAUACAGGCCGAGAUCCAUAGAUUGCAGAGAAUUGUCGAAGAGAAUUUUGCGCGAGUUGAAAGAUCAGAGAAUGAUCAGAUGAGAGAGAGAUAAUUAUCGGUGAGUCUACUCAGUGCUUUGGUCACCGCAGCGCACCCGAGCUAGAUAUAUGUAUUACGAUUCACGUAUGCAUUUCAGUUCAACAGUAUUCUUUAGGUUUGAUUAUCCUUGCAAUUGUAAUGUCUUUAUUGUCAACUGUUAUGAUUUUCGCAUUGUAACUUUGAAUGUUUUGUUUUGAUGUUUUUUUUCUUCGUAAUUUUGUGAUAUUUCAUAUUAUGUUUUUGCUUUUGGCCUAAAAAUAAAAAAUUAAAAUGGAUACAGAGAACUGUUUUUCCACAGCCGAGACACAUAGCAGUCGUCCAGACCAAACUCUCUCAGACGUGUUACAAAGCGUGCUUGAAAUGCAGACCGUGAGUACCCAAAACGUGUGACAGAUUGCAGCAUUUGAUAAAUUUGAAUUCAGACCCUGUAGAAAUGUCUUUUGAUGAUGCACCAGCGCAUCAGACAUCUAAUUUGGAACGAUUAGAAUCAGCUAUUGAACGGUUUCCAAAUAUUAAUUUGUCAGAACGAUUACAGGAAUUAUUAAACACUCAUUAUGUAAACAUAAUACAAAAUGGCGGGGCAAUAAAUAAUAGGCGUGGAACGACAUUUAAUGCGAACAUUAAUGUUGACAAUCAGCAUCCAUUGUCUAGCAUCGCAGCUCUCCCUACAGAUACUGUCGGAGCAUCGGCAAACAAUACAACAUCAUCCGAUCAACCUGCAGGUACGUCGGCACUACCACAAUCAGACAUUGAUACGUUGAUUCGGGAGGGUGGUCUGAUUAACGACUACCGCGUUUUACUGUGACCUCGUUUCAAUAGCGUACAAUUGCGAAGACUCAUGAAUCUGAGGGAGAUUAACUCGACAGAUUUGGCAGCGUACCACAUUUUUUUUUACACAAUGCUUUUGACGAAAUAGUCUCACAUGCUCGAGAUAUUGUAAUCAAUUUAUCCCUUACAGCACCUAUGCUAAAAUCACCCGAUUCCGUUAAAAUCGAGGCUAACGUAGCCAUGAAUAGACGAGGAGGUCGCCCGCGUCGUAAACUUACAGAUUUAGCUCUGGAUCAGGUCAUCAAAUGAAAAAAAAAAUGUCGCUAUUUUGCCCGACAAAUGUUUCAAACAAUUUAUGUUUCUCUAUCUGACUAGUGCGUUUUCUCAACCCACAAUUACCCGAGAAUGAGUAAAAAAGAACCGCAGCGACCAUCCAUAACAACGCCUGCUUCUCAAUUCAAAAACAAUUUGGAUUCGACAACAUUCGGUCCUUUGAGUCUCUUCUAGGCAUUAAAAUUGUUUUUUUUUUUUUUACAAGCGCGGGGUCAUUAGAAACAUACAAAAAUCACGACAACCCACACUCUAAAACGGUAUGUCUCUAUUUGCAAAAUGAUCAUUACUAUAUGAUUCUGAAUUUAACUGCGUUCAUCGGUGCCACCUACGUGUGUGAAUUUUGCUACAAAGGCUACUCGAACCGUAGAAACCAUCAUUGCAAACACAUCUGCAACGUGUGUUUUGAUGGGGAAUGUUAUAAACAUCCUAAAAAAACAAUGCACUGCGACGAUUGUUUGCGGUUUUCUAAGUCGGGUUACUGCUAUGAAAUGCAUAAAAAAAAAAAAAAACACCCCCCGGUGCAGAAAAUCCUGCGUGUGACGUUAUAAAAUAUUGCAAACUUUGCGGUAGGCAAUAUGUAGUCACAGGUCAAAGCAAAAAUCACAAAUAUGCACCCCAUCGAUGCAUACAUUGUAAUGAAGAUUUGCCCAACCAGGGGUCACACAAUUGCUUCAUACAGCCCAUACCUAAGGACCCUUGCAAUAAAUACAUUUUUUAUGACUUUGAAACGCAAUAUGUAAAUGACCGACACGAAAUGAAUUUUGUCUGUGACAUCACUUUUAAAGGUGAGACAUUUGGGCUGAAGGCCCGGACUGCAUAGCGAAACUAAUCUCGCGGUUUAGACAACCCCGAUAUGAAGGAUACUGCUUCAUAGCUCAUUAUGCGUCCAGAUUUGACUCCUUUCUAAUUCUGGAGUAUUUUUGCAAAGCCGGGCUCACUCUCGAUGUUAUAAUGCAAGGAUGUAAAUGAAUCUUCAUGUACGACGAAGAAUUUGCACAACGAUACAUUGACAGCUACUCGUUCAUACCGAUGGCCCUGUCUAAGAUGCCAGCGGCACUCAAUUUGACCACGACAGAAAAAGGGCAUUUUCCGCAUCUUUUCAAUAGACCAGAAAAUGCAAAUUACCGGGGGAAGUACCCUGAUAAAAAGUUCUACAACUACGAAGACAUGUCCGAUAAAGAACAGGUAAAGUUUGAUGCGUGGUACAAUGGCGUUGAGGGUAAAAUUUUCAAUUUCAGGAAGGAGUUGUAUGACUACGGUGUGAAUGAUGUCGUGUUACUGCGUGAAGCAUGCAUAAAAUACCGAGAGGCGUUCAUUAUAUGUACCGGACUUGAUCCGUUCAACUCGACGACACUUGCUGGGUGUUGCAUGGCCAUCUUCAAAACCCAUUAUCUCGAGAAAGAUACGUUAGCUCUGACGCAUAAUAACGCUUACGUCUGACAGAGUAAGACUUACUUGAAUGCGUCGAUCGAAUGGCUCGAGUAUGUAAAAAAGACUCGAAACGACAUUCACCACGCUGUAAACGCGAGGUGUCAACCGGCCGUUACUUUUUAGAUGGGUUCUACGAGGAGGGAGAGUCGAGAUACAGGUUAGAGUUUAACGGUUGUGUCCAUCAUGGACAUUCGUGCCGCUUUGAACCCCAUCAGCGACAUCCUAUGUCAGGGGUACCUUAUGGGGAUCUCAAGAGACAGUUUGACGAAAAGGUCGAAAUUCUACAGAAUACCUACGGUUUGCAAAUCGAGGUUCUUUGGGAAUGCGAAUGGGAGGAAAUGAAGCGGUCCGAUCCUUCUGUGAAGGAAUUUAUGAGUACUUAUUCAGCGCCCGAGAGACUGAAACCGAGAGAGGCGCUGUUUGGGGGUUGUACUAACGCUUAUAAACUGUAUCACAAAACGGUUGAGGGCGAGAGAAUAAGUUACGUAGAUUUUACCAGCUUAUAUCCUUUCUGUCUGGCUAGGAAAAGCUAGCAAAUUAUUUUCAAAGAUUUUGAACCGAUCGAAAAUUAUUACGGUAUUAUCAAAGCUAGAGUUUAUCCGCCUCAUAAAUUACUACACCUGGUUCUCCCAUACAGAUGUGAUGGUAAACUUAUGUUUCCGUUAUGCUGUAAAUGAGCGCACGCUCAAAACCAGACAACGGACUGUACCCAAACGGAUGACGAGAGGGCUCUCACGGGGUGUUGGGUCAGUAUUGAACUUUUGAAAGCGAUCGAGAAUGGUUACAUUAUUGCUACGAUCGAUGAAGUUUGGCAUUUUCCGCAACGGUCAGACACAUUAUUUUGCGAUUACGUAAAGACAUUUUUAUGUCUGAAGCAACAAGCGUCCGGUUACCCGUCAAACGUCGUCACUGAUGCUGACAAAGAGUCUUAUAUACGCGAAUAUUAUGAAAAAGAGGGUAUUCGUCUUGACCCUGAAAAGAUCAGUCACAACCCCGCACAGAGGGCUAUCAAUAAACUAUUGCUGAAUAGCUUAUGGGGAAGGUUCUCUAUGAGGGAAUCGUUAGCUCAUACUGAGCUUGUGAACGACCCUGAAGAUUUCACCAGAAUUGUUUUUGGCGAAACCGACACUCUGACUUAUUUUACUUUUGUCUCGGACAAUGUGGCUCUUGUCCAACAUCGUCCCCCAAAAGGGGAAGUUCGACAGACUCGUGACAUUAACGUGUUUGUAGGAGCUUUUACAACGGCUCAUGCCCGGCUUGAGUUGUACGAACUCAUGGAUAAACUCGGCGACCGCUUGUUAUACUCCGACACUGACAGCGUUAUAUUUGUCUCUAGGGAGGGGGACUGGGACCCCCCUCUGGGAGAUCAUUUGGGGUAGCUGACGAAUGAAAUAGACGACAGAGAUUAUAUUACAGAAUUUUGCUCUAGCGGUCCGAAAUCUUACGUAUAUCGCACGACCAAAGGUAAAGUGUGCAUGAAGGCUAAGGGUAUAACGUUAAGCGCAAAAAAUUCCCAAGCUAUUCAUUUAAAGAGUCUUAUUGGUCUGGUUAACAGCUAUUUGACAUCGCAUGACAGUUCGCAAUGCAUCCUGGCCCACACUGAAAAACAUUGUGAGAAAUAAAAACCUGUUGAACGAAGCACCAGGUCGAAAAGGUUUUCACUCAAUUUGUACAUCAUCGUAAUCUCAGCGCUAUUUAUAUAGUGCAAAAUGUAUUUGCCCAAGGCAAAUCCAGUAGAACCAUCAGCUUAAACACAAAUUAUAUGAUUUUGUUUAAAAACCCACAGGAUGCCAAUUAAGUAGCGGUACUAGGACAUCAAAUGUAUCCUGGAAACACAAAAUACUUUAUGGAGUGCUAUCAAGAUGCAACCAGUCGACCUUACGGUUAUUUAAUGAUAGACUAUAAAGCAAAAACUCCUGAGCAAUUCUGUCUCAGAACGGGAUUGUUUUCCAACCAUCAAGUGGUUUAUCUCCAGAAAAAACGAAGAACGUGAUCAGUCGUCAUGUCUGCAAGACUUUGUAAACAUCUACCAUUGUUGAAACUGAUACAUAAAGCAACUCAUAAACAACGACGCCUUAUUUUGCAAUCGGCGUCCGACAAACUCAUUUUAACAUUGUGCGAAGUGGCUCUUAACAUGCUCUAUGGUACGAUUCCUAUCAAUCGACAGCUGUACCAAAAACUGACAAGGAGAAAAAAAAAAAAAAUUGGUAUAUCUGCCAAGAAGCGAGUCUUCAUUCAGACUGGAGGAUUUCUUUUACUGCUUCUUAGCGUAGCAGUACCCUUUAUUUCCAGCUUAAUAUCAUCUAGAUGCGGUUGAUGAUGGAGUAUGCCGAGAAAAUGUAUUUAGUACCGCAACAUCAACUGGAAAAGCUGAAAAAUGAGAAUGUUCGCAAAAAUAUUCAACAGGUUGUAGAGAACGAUCUGGAUACAUCCAUAAGAAAAAUCUUACUCCGGUCUGAUUUAAAUCAGUACGAAAAAGCCAAACUCUACAAGAACAUCCUGAGCAGGUUUUUGACGAUCGUUAAACAAGGCGAUUGGGAGAGUAACGUUUUAACGUUGUCGCUACCCAUUUCUGAACCCGACCAUAAAGACGAACAACCCCACACUGGUGUUGAAGACGACGGAGGUGUGGAUGACGUUGUGAGUGAAGUUCUGAAGAAUGUACUGUCAAGAAGUGUGAAAAACGGCUGAUACAUAUUAGACAAAAUGUCUAAAGCUAAAGGACUCAGUGCAUGGAAUGAGUCGGGGGAGUUUGUAUUCAGGGGAAAAGCCAUGCCUGGGUCGCACAUGGUCAAUUUGAUUUAAAAAAAUGUCACAGCACCACAAAAGGAGCACGAUGACAGAAAACCCCCAGGAUGGUCGGAGUUUAUACAUGCCUUUGCAGAGUUAAACAUUCCGUUUUCUACCGUGCCGAAUCAUAAUGUUAGAUGGGCAAUUAAUUCUUUAAAGAGACCCGAUACUGCUACAGCGGAAUAUGAAAGUCCUUCUGAUAUUGUUACAGCAAAACGUGAAAGGAUUUCUAAAAAACCAAAAAGAAAAAAGCACGUAGGUCAACUGCUUCAGAAGAUCCCAUGUUCAAAUCGCUGUCUAUCGAUCGAAGUCAAUGGUUAGAAUUUUAAAAUGUUUUGUUUGUUAAUAUUUGAUUAAUGAAAUGUGUAUAUGUUCUGUCUGCUUAAAAUUUGAAAUAAAAACACAAUAAAAAGA